GAUGAACGCUGGCGGCGUGCCUAAUACAUGCAAGUCGAGCGAACAGAUGAGGAGCUUGCUCCUCUGACGUUAGCGGCGGACGGGUGAGUAACACGUGGAUAACCUACCUAUAAGACUGGGAUAACUUCGGGAAACCGGAGCUAAUACCGGAUAAUAUAUUGAACCGCAUGGUUCAAUAGUGAAAGACGGUUUUGCUGUCACUUAUAGAUGGAUCCGCGCCGCAUUAGCUAGUUGGUAAGGUAACGGCUUACCAAGGCAACGAUGCGUAGCCGACCUGAGAGGGUGAUCGGCCACACUGGAACUGAGACACGGUCCAGACUCCUACGGGAGGCAGCAGUAGGGAAUCUUCCGCAAUGGGCGAAAGCCUGACGGAGCAACGCCGCGUGAGUGAUGAAGAUCUUCGGAUCGUAAAACUCUGUUAUUAGGGAAGAACAAAUGUGUAAGUAACUAUGCACGUCUUGACGGUACCUAAUCAGAAAGCCACGGCUAACUACGUG
rnacentral:rRNA from 1 species